AGAGUUUGAUCCUGGCUCAGGAUGAACGCUGGCGGUGCGCCUAAUGCAUGCAAGUCGAACGACGCAUAUUGGAGGGGUAACCCAUCGAUAUGACGGAGUGGCGAACGGGUGCGUAACACGUGAGUAAUCUGCCCCACAGACCGGGAUAGCCCAGGGAAACCUGGAUUAAUACCGGAUGACCUCGUAGGACCACAUGGUCUCUCGAGGAAAUGCCUUUGUGCUGUGGGAUGAACUCGCGGCUUAUCAGCUAGUUGGUGGGGUAACGGCCUACCAAGGCAUUGACGAGUAGCUGGUCUGAGAGGACGAUCAGCCACACUGGGACUGAGACACGGCCCAGACUCCUACGGGAGGCAGCAGCAGGGAAUCUUGCGCAAUGGACGAAAGUCUGACGCAGCGACACCGCGUGGGGGAUGAAGGCCUUCGGGUUGUAAACCCCUUUCAGGAGGGAAGAAAUUGACGGUACCUCCAAAAGAAGCACCGGCCAACUACGUGCCAGCAGCCGCGGUAAUACGUAGGGUGCGAGCGUUAUCCGGAAUCAUUGGGCGUAAAGAGCUCGUAGGCGGUUCAGCAAGUCGGCUGUGAAAGUUCGAGGCUCAACCUCGAAAUUGCAGUCGAUACUGCUGUGACUCGAGUCCGGUAGAGGAGAAUGGAAUUCUCGGUGUAGCGGUGAAAUGCGCAGAUAUCGAGAGGAACACCAGU
rnacentral:rRNA from 1 species